rnacentral:tmRNA from 1 species
GGGGGCGACAUGGUUUCGACGUGUAGGUUGAAGCCAUUGUGGCACGCCGAGGACCCCGGUUGGCCUCGUAAAUCGUCCGGGAAAAAACAUAAAAGCCAACGAACAAUUGGCCCUCGCGGCUUAGUAUCGCGACGUUCGACCCCCAACGCCUGCUAGGCGGAUUCGAGCGACGACAGCAGGCUGGCUUCUAUGCCGGGCGACCGGGCGGCGAAGCGAGAACUUUCGUGGGCGCUGGCGGCAUGUCGAGCCUGUCCGUGGGCAUGGCAUGCGGCGAUGACUUAAUUGCGGAAUAAGCGUGUAGAUGCAAUGGUGACUCGUAUGCGGACGCGGGUUCGACUCCC